UAUUUUCUAAAUUUGUCCAGGUUUUUUGAAUGGGAAGUUUCUAGAAAAUAUUAUUCUUACUUGAGGGGAGACUGUUCUUGUUAGGGAGAAGUUAGAGUAAUAUAUUUGCUCACAUCAUAUGUGGAAUACAUUAUUUGGGCUCAUUUGUAGUUUUAUUUUCCUACAGUGUUUCACAUGGAAUAUAGGUUACUUUGAGGAUAAUAGUUUAUUAUAGAGAAUAUAUGUAAGUUGCUUUGACAGAUUUAAAAUAGCAAAUGGGAGACACAUAUAGGCAGUUGAUAUGUUUUUUUUUUAAAAUCCCUGAGCAGUUGUGAGCAUUUCUCGUAAUUUCCUAUGUACAGAUAUUUCCUGAAACACUAAGAGGCUGCUAAAAGACUCAAGGUCUGAAAGAAGCCCCAAAGAUACCUCAGUGAAAACAUUUUUAAAGAAGUCACUGAUUGGAGUGAACACAGCCUAGAAGGGCACUUUUUUUCUCCCUUUCAGGAGAAUGUGACAGAGUGUCAUUAAGGUUUUAGAAAUGAAUGCUCCUGAGGAAAGGAGGAUCCCUGGAACUACAAUGAUGCCCAGUAUGUGGCCCUGGGAUUCUCAGUUGGGUUCUUUUUAGGUUUUUAAUCAGGUUGGAGAAGAGGGGCGGGGAUAGAGCAAAAAGGAGUAGGGAUAGACAAGAGCUUUGGGACACCUGUACACCAGAGUAUUUUACUUUCUCAUUGAUUUUCUUAGAUGUUGAAUUUGUAGGGUUUAAUAUUUAAAGGUAAACCGAGUUCUAAGUAUUUUGAGAGGCAAUAAACUAUUUUGCCCUACUAUUUAUGUUUGGAAGCACAUACUGUUUUGCAUUUAUCUUAAACUGUUUGGAUAUAUUAAAUCAGAAAUUUUAUUUAAGUUGUAAUUCGACUUCUCUGAGGGCAUUGUUUUAACCUAUUGCUGUUUUUAUGUUGACGGUAAUUGCCUUUGAUAUAUUCUGCAGGCCAAUCAGAUUGUAUCACAAAAGAGGGCUUAUAAUAAAUGUGUGCCAAAAACAGCUCUGUCUCAGUCCAGGAACAGGAAAGCUUACUUGUGCAUCAGACAUUGAAGUAACAUUCAGAAGACAUUAGAUCACACAUAAAUACAGUUCUUUUGUAGUGGGAUGGAUGUAAGAUCUUUUUAAAGUGUUCUUACAGUGUUAAGCUGAAAGAUAGCAUUGGUAAAGGUAUCUUUAACUUUACUUUUGACUUAUCUAUUUAAAUUUUAUAAAUUUAUAAAUUUUAUACAAUUUCAUUUAAUUUAUUAAAUGUUUAAAAAUUUUUUUUCCUUAGGCUGUAUGAUGUUUUUGGGAUUUUUUGAUCUCUAAGUGUAAAUUCAGCUCCUGUAGAUUGUUUUUUGAUACACUUGUUGGUAGCUUAAUGUUACACUAACACUUCUUUGUCAUUCUAUACCUCACUCAAAAUGGAAAUUCUUGUGAACACUUGUACCUCCACCUUUUUU